rnacentral:rRNA from 1 species
GGGACACGUGGUAUCCUGUCUGAAUAUGGGGGGACCAUCCUCCAAGGCUAAAUACUCCUGACUGACCGAUAGUGAACCAGUACCGUGAGGGAAAGGCGAAAAGAACCCCGGCGAGGGGAGUGAAAAAGAACCUGAAACCGUGUACGUACAAGCAGUGGGAGCACGCUUAGGCGUGUGACUGCGUACCUUUUGUAUAAUGGGUCAGCGACUUAUAUUCUGUAGCAAGGUUAACCGAAUAGGGGAGCCGAAGGGAAACCGAGUCUUAACUGGGCGUUAAGUUGCAGGGUAUAGACCCGAAACCCGGUGAUCUAGCCAUGGGCAGGUUGAAGGUUGGGUAACACUAACUGGAGGACCGAACCGACUAAUGUUGAAAAAUUAGCGGAUGACUUGUGGCUGGGGGUGAAAGGCCAAUCAAACCGGGAGAUAGCUGGUUCUCCCCGAAAGCUAUUUAGGUAGCGCCUCGUGAAUUCAUCUCCGGGGGUAGAGCACUGUUUCGGCAAGGGGGUCAUCCCGACUUACCAACCCGAUGCAAACUGCGAAUACCGGAGAAUGUUAUCACGGGAGACACACGGCGGGUGCUAACGUCCGUCGUGAAGAGGGAAACAACCCAGACCGCCAGCUAAGGUCCCAAAGUCAUGGUUAAGUGGGAAACGAUGUGGGAAGGCCCAGACAGCCAGGAUGUUGGCUUAGAAGCAGCCAUCAUUUAAAGAAAGCGUAAUAGCUCACUGGUCGAGUCGGCCUGCGCGGAAGAUGUAACGGGGCUAAACCAUGCACCGAAGCUGCGGCAGCGACGCUUAUGCGUUGUUGGGUAGGGGAGCGUUCUGUAAGCCUGUGAAGGUGUGCUGUGAGGCAUGCUGGAGGUAUCAGAAGUGCGAAUGCUGACAUAAGUAACGAUAAAGCGGGUGAAAAGCCCGCUCGCCGGAAGACCAAGGGUUCCUGUCCAACGUUAAUCGGGGCAGGGUGAGUCGACCCCUAAGGCGAGGCCGAAAGGCGUAGUCGAUGGGAAACAGGUUAAUAUUCCUGUACUUGGUGUUACUGCGAAGGGGGGACGGAGAAGGCUAUGUUGGCCGGGCGACGGUUGUCCCGGUUUAAGCGUGUAGGCUGGUUUUCCAGGCAAAUCCGGAAAAUCAAGGCUGAGGCGUGAUGACGAGGCACUACGGUGCUGAAGCAACAAAUGCCCUGCUUCCAGGAAAAGCCUCUAAGCAUCAGGUAACAUCAAAUCGUACCCCAAACCGACACAGGUGGUCAGGUAGAGAAUACCAAGGCGCUUGAGAGAACUCGGGUGAAGGAACUAGGCAAAAUGGUGCCGUAACUUCGGGAGAAGGCACGCUGAUAUGUAGGUGAAGCGACUUGCUCGUGGAGCUGAAAUCAGUCGAAGAUACCAGCUGGCUGCAACUGUUUAUUAAAAACACAGCACUGUGCAAACACGAAAGUGGACGUAUACGGUGUGACGCCUGCCCGGUGCCGGAAGGUUAAUUGAUGGGGUCAGCGCAAGCGAAGCUCUUGAUCGAAGCCCCGGUAAACGGCGGCCGUAACUAUAACGGUCCUAAGGUAGCGAAAUUCCUUGUCGGGUAAGUUCCGACCUGCACGAAUGGCGUAAUGAUGGCCAGGCUGUCUCCACCCGAGACUCAG